AACGAACGCUGGCGGCAGGCUUAACACAUGCAAGUCGAACGCCCCUCUAGGGGAGUGGCAGACGGGUGAGUAACGCGUGGGAACAUACCCUUUCUACGGAAUAGCUCUGGGAAACUGGAAUUAAUACCGUAUACGCCCUACGGGGGAAAGAUUUAUCGGGGAAGGAUUGGCCCGCGUUGGAUUAGCUAGUUGGUGGGGUAAAGGCCUACCAAGGCGACGAGCCAUAGCUGGUCUGAGAGGAUGAUCAGCCACAUUGGGACUGAGACGCGGCCCAAACUCCUACGGGAGGCAGCAGUGGGGAAUAUUGGACGAUGGGCGCAAUCCUGAUCCAGCCAUGCCGCGUGAGUGAUGAAGGCCUUAGGGUUGUAAAGCUCUUUCACCGAUGACGAAGCGCAAGUGACGGUAGUGGGAGAAGAAGGACCGGCCAACUACGUGCCAGCCGCCGCCGUAAAAC
rnacentral:rRNA from 1 species